CGUAUAUUAAAGUUGUUGCAGUUAAAAAGCUCGUAGUUGGAUUUGUGGUGUAUUGUGGGUUCCGGGCACUUGUUGUCUGAGUAAUCUGCGGUUGCCAUCCUUGGGUGGAACCCGUGUGGCAUUAGGUUGUCGUGCAGGGGAUGCCCAUCGUUUACUGUGAAAAAAUUAGAGUGUUCAAAGCAGGCUUAUGCCGUUGAAUAUAUUAGCAUGGAAUAAUGAGAUAGGACUUUUUCGCUAUUUUGUUGGUUUGCGCGAAGAGGUAAUGAUUAAUAGGGACAGUUGGGGG
rnacentral:rRNA from 1 species